ACUGAGUGAUCAAGUUUGAAAAAUAGUGUUUAAAUAUUGUGCUCUGUUCAACGUAAGCGUAUGUAUCAUGUUUCUCUUUCUCUCUAUAUAUAUACACACAUAUAUGUAUGUGUACAGAUCGUAAGAG